rnacentral:lncRNA from 1 species
AUGGCACAGGACAGCUUAAGGUUGUUUAUCUGUGUUUCAAAGGAUCAUUUAAAGGUACUUAUGUGGCCAGCUUCACUGAUGGGUAUACCAACAAGUGUAGAACUGGCCAGGGACAAGAGGAGCCAAGCUGUGAUACUCAGGCACAGCAGAGCAGUCAGCCACACCGCCCUGCCUGCGCUGAGUGGGGACGGAGGUUCAGGGACUGCCCCAGCAUGGAUCCUCACCUUCCUGAAGGCUGCUGUCUGCCAUGCCUCCUGGCACAACUGUGCAUGCUCCUCCGUUGUAUUUUGUCAGGAUUAUCUGGUUUAAAGUAAUCACUUAGUAUUUUCUUACAUCAAUGGCUUUGACAGAGCGACGAGGAGCAGCCAGAGGCAGAGGUGAGCGUCACAGGGCGCAGGCACCCGUCACCUCACGCCACCUCAGCCAGGGCCCAGGCACUGGAAAUGCACUUUUUGCCUGGCUGAGCUUACUUCAGUUGCUUUGCAGCAUCACAGCAAAUUAAAUUCACAUACUACCUUAAUCCAGAACUAAUUCCUUACUUAUCUUCUCAAGUUAUUUUCUGGUUUGAACACCAGGCUGUGGCCCACACUGCCUGGCUUAGAGAUGCUUGCUGUGCAACAAACCUUGCCAUCAUAUGGCACAAACCACUCCCAGCAGGAACAUGCCACUCACUGCCCUUCCUUUGGGCUGCAGAAGGAAAGCUUUGGUUUUGCUGUUGGAGAAAAGGCCAGGGCUGCGGCCCUCACCAAGACGACCCCUGCUCCUGGCCAUGGCAGCAGGCAGCCACACUGCACGACGGGUGCUGGCAGAGGAGCUUCCCUGAUGUGACCUGUAAGUAGCCUUGUGGAGUGAGGAGUACUUUUCUUCCCUUAGGACUGGAGUUGAUUUGUUUUGGAACCUGAGUGAAUAUCUGAAGGCCUCCGUUUGUCCAUGGUUGUUGGUGCUUGGCCCACUCUGUGCUUAAAUGUGCUUUUCUGGCUCUGCAGCCCUGACAUUGCCACUGCUCUUACUUUCCUGGCAAGCUACAUUCAUAAAUUUGUUCUCCCUCAAUAUCUUUAGGUCUAUCUUUUCUUCUUCCUGAAGCUGUGAGCACCACCUAAUUCCUCUGAUCUUUGGCUGGAGACCUUCCUGGCACAGCAGCCCUUACCAAAACUAUUAGCUUGUUUUGAGUGUAAUAAGGAGAACUGUCUUUUUCAAAUGAAUUUUGGAAUUCCUGAGGAAGUUCAAGGGGGGAUGGGGUCUCUUGAAUAUGUUCUGUCAAACCAGUGUUGCUUGAAGCUGUUCUCUUUUGUCCUUGUUUUGUUAAUGUAGCUCCCUCAUUGCUCUAGGUCUGUGCGGCAUUUUCCUUGGAAAACAGGCAUUUGCAGUUCUUUAUCUAACUUGAAGUGUUGGUCACAUAAGUGUGUUUGGUGUUCUCAAGGGAAAAAGAGCUUUAAAGAAGGGUUGUUUUUAGUGAAUAAGCAGGUUGGCAGUAAUAAUUACAGUAUUUAAUAGAAGAGAAAUGUUAAACACUUCAGCAAAUAUAUCUGUGUGAAGUUACACAGCAGCACGAUGACUUGAGGUUUGAAUUUGCACUGGGCUCAGCUCUGCAGAGCAUUGUUGGGCUCAUACAGUCAGGAGGAGUCAGACACUGCACUGCUCAGCAGUACCCACGUCCCUCCAUGGCUUUAACCCUUCCCCACAACAUGGAAGUAGUACUGUUUGCUGAGGUGGAUAUUGCAGUGGAGACAGAACAUUUGUAAUGUACUUUGAGGAUAAAGGCUUGGUCAUCUCUGUGUUGUGAUAACUGGUACUUUUUUUGGACCCCGGCUUAAAGAUUUCCUUUAAAAAAUGCAGACAGAAAUGUGAGGCUUGCCUGGUUCUCUUGGAAAAAAAAAAAAAAAAAAUGUACAAAAGAUGUGACAAAGUUAUCAUCAGAGAAAAAGGAAUAAAAUCUAGAAAUAAUUUAUUUUUUUCA